CUUUUUUUCCGGGGACCUUCUGGGCAGGGCGGACUCCACGAGUACCCGUUUUUGACCACAGGAGGGCACAGUUUUCCGUCCCGUAGCAUGACCACCGACGACGACGUUCCCAGUACGGCCGAGUUCCUGUCCGUCCGCCGAAUUCGUCCCCAGCUUCCUGUCCGUUGGCAGCACGGUUCCCUGCUUUUUCCCGUGCUCUUUUCUGCACUACGUGGACGGAGCGCACGUCUACCGGCGAGGCCUCGGGAAGGAAAAAAAGGAAGCCUGCUACUGCCUCAGCUCCUUUUUAGAGGCGGGGCCG